rnacentral:rRNA from 1 species
CCUACGGGAGGCAGCAGUGGGGAAUAUUGGGCAAUGGCGGAAACUCUGACCCAGCAACGCCGCGUGAAUGAUGAAGGUCUUCGGAUUGUAAAGUUCUUUUCUAAGGGAAGAAGAACGUGACGGUCCCUUAGCAAUACGCCUCGCCUACCUACGUGCCAGCAGGCGCGGGAAUACGUAGGCGGCAAGCGUUAUCCGGAAUGACUGGGCGUAAAGGGUGCGUAGGUGGUUUGACAAGUUGGUAGCGUAACUCCGGGGCUCAACCUCGGCACUACUACCAAAACUGUCGGACUUGAGUGCAGGAGGGGCAAAUGGAAUGCGUGGUGUAGCGGUGGAAUGCGUAGAUAUUAGGAGGAACACCAGUUGCGAAGGCGAUUUGCUGGACUGUAACUGACACUGAGGCACGAAAGCGUGGGGAGCAAACAGGAUUAGAUACCCUAGUAGUC